UAGAGUUUGAUCAUGGCUCAGAUUGAACGCUGGCGGCAGGCUUCAGACAUGCAAGUCGAGCGGAAACAGGCCGCUGUGAUCCCUUCGGGGUGAACUUGGUGCUGUCGAGCGGCGGACGGGUGAGUAACGCGUAGGAAUCUGCCCAGUAGAGGGGGAUAGCCCGAGGAAACUCGGAUUAAUACCGCAUACGCCCUAAGGGGGAAAGCAGGGGAUCUUCGGACCUUGCGCUAUUAGAUGAGCCUGCGUUGGAUUAGCUUGUUGGUGGGGUAAAGGCCUACCAAGGCGACGAUCCAUAGCUGGUUUGAGAGGAUGAUCAGCCACACUGGAACUGAGACACGGUCCAGACUCCUACGGGAGGCAUCAGUCGGGAAUAUUGGACAAUGGGCGCAAGCCUGAUCCGGCCAUGCCGCGUGUGUGAAGAAGGCCUUCGGGUUGUAAAGCACUUUCAGUAGGGAGGAAGGCUGACCGUUUAAUAGACGGUUGGAUUGACGUUACCUACAGAAGCAGCACCGGCUAACUCCGUGCCAGCAGCCGCGGUAAUACGAGGGGUGCAAGCGUUAAUCGGAAUUACUGGGCGUAAAGCGCGCGUAGGCGGUUUGUUAAGUCGGAUGUGAAAGCCCUGGGCUCAACCUAGGAACUGCAUCCGAUACUGACAGGCUAGAGUACUGUAGAGGGGGGUAGAAUUUCA
rnacentral:rRNA from 1 species